GACGAACGCUGGCGGCGUGCUUAACACAUGCAAGUCGAACGGAAAGGCCCUGCUUUUGUGGGGUGCUCGAGUGGCGAACGGGUGAGUAACACGUGAGUAACCUGCCCUUGACUUUGGGAUAACUUCAGGAAACUGGGGCUAAUACCGGAUAGGAGCUCCUACUGCAUGGUGGGGGUUGGAAAGUUUCGGCGGUUGGGGAUGUACUCGCGGCUUAUCAGCUUGUUGGUGGGGUAGUGGCUUACCAAGGCUUUGACGGGUAGCCGGCCUGAGAGGGUGACCGGCCACAUUGGGACUGAGAUACGGCCCAGACUCCUACGGGAGGCAGCAGUGGGGAAUAUUGCACAAUGGGCGGAAGCCUGAUGCAGCAACGCCGCGUGCGGGAUGACGGCCUUCGGGUUGUAAACCGCUUUCGCCUGUGACGAAGCGUGAGUGACGGUAAUGGGUAAAGAAGCACCGGCUAACUACGUG
rnacentral:rRNA from 1 species